GGCAAGGUGGUCGAGUGGUUAAGACGUAAGACUUGAAUUCCAUUCACUGGGAGAAAUCUUAUCCCUUCGGGGUCGCGCGUUCAAAUCGCGUCCUUGUCG